rnacentral:rRNA from 1 species
UACGUAGGUGGCAAGCGUUGUCCGGAUUUACUGGGCGUAAAGAGCGCGCAGGCGGUCGAUCAAGUCGCGUGUGAAAGCCCCCGGCUCAACUGGGGAGGGUCACGCGAUACUGAUCGACUCGAAGGCAGGAGAGGGUAGUGGAAUUCCCGGUGUAGUGGUGAAAUGCGUAGAUAUCGGGAGGAACACCAGUGGCGAAGGCGACUACCUGGCCUGUUUCUUGACGCUGAGGAGCGAAAGCGUGGGGAGCGAACAGG